rnacentral:rRNA from 1 species
GAUGAACGCUGGCUACAGGCUUAACACAUGCAAGUCGAGGGGAAACGACGGGGAAGCUUGCUUCCCCGGGCGUCGACCGGCGCACGGGUGAGUAACGCGUAUCCAACCUGCCUCUGACUGAGGGAUAACCCGUCGAAAGUCGGCCUAAUACCUCAUGGUAUCGUCUGCGGGCAUCCAACGACGAUUAAAGAUUUCAUCGGUCAGGGAUGGGGAUGCGUCUGAUUAGCUUGUUGGCGGGGUAACGGCCCACCAAGGCUACGAACAGUAGGGGUUCUGAGAGGAAGGUCCCCCACAUUGGAACUGAGACACGGUCCAAACUCCUACGGGAGGCAGCAGUGAGGAAUAUUGGUCAAUGGGCGAGAGCCUGAACCAGCCAAGUAGCGUGCAGGAAGACGGCCCUAUGGGUUGUAAACUGCUUUUAUGCGGGGAUAAAGUGAGGGACGUGUCCCUCAUUGCAGGUACCGCAUGAAUAAGGACCGGCUAAUUCCGUG